UUUAGGUAGUUUAUAAAAAUAUUGAUUUGUGGGGUCAAAGAUAUGAUUAAUCAUUCUAAAUAA
rnacentral:tRNA from 1 species